AGAGUCGGUCAGGCAAUCGCUCUUUGUUUACAAAGGGAGGAAAGUCCGGGCUCCGCAGGGCAGGGUGCCAGGUAACGCCUGGGAGGUGUGAACCUACGGAAAGUGCCACAGAAAAUAUACCGCCCGCUUAGCGGGUAAGGGUGAAAUGGUGCGGUAAGAGCGCACCGCGCGACUGGCAACAGUCGUGGCAGGGAAAACCCCACCCGGAGCAAGACCAAAUAGGAAUCCAUUUGACUGCAAAGUCAUAACGUGUGGCCCGCACGGGAUUCGGGUAGGUCGCUUGAGGCAUGCGGUGACGUAUGUCCCAGAUGAAUGAUUGUCCACGACAGAACCCGGCUUAUCGACCGACUCCUUUU
rnacentral:RNase_P_RNA from 1 species